rnacentral:rRNA from 1 species
CGCAGCAGGCGCGAAACCUCCGCAAUGCGCGAAAGCGCGACGGGGCCACCCCGAGUGCCGCCCGCUGAGGGCGGCUUUUCCCCGGUGUAGACAGCCGGGGGAAUAAGGGGAGGGCAAGUCUGGUGUCAGCCGCCGCGGUAAUACCAGCUCCCCGAGUGGUGGGGACGAUUAUUGGGCCUAAAGCGUCCGUAGCCGGCCCGGCAAGUCUCCCGUUAAAUCCAGCGAUCUAAUCGCUGGACUGCGGGAGAUACUGUCGGGCUAGGGGGCGGGAGAGGCCGGCGGUAUUCCCGGGGUAGGGGUGAAAUCCUAUAAUCCCCGGGAGGACCACCAGUGGCGAAGGCUGCCGGCUGGAACGCGCCCGACGGUGAGGGACGAAAGCCGGGGGAGCGAACCGGAUUAGAUACCCCGGUGGU